GCCUCUAUGGCACAGGGGUAAUGCGUGUCACUCGUACAGUUGCUAAAACUUGCGGUGUUAUGACAAGAUCCGCGGUUCGAUUCCGCGUGGAGGCA